rnacentral:lncRNA from 1 species
AAAGGAAAUUAACACUUUUUUCUUUUACAGGCCAUAAUUACAAACUUAUUUAGAGCUCUCCAAAUGUAAUAAAUAAAAUGAGCAUUAUAUCUCUCAAUACUAAUCAGAAUAACUCUUUUAUUUAUACAGUUGUCAUCAAUACCUUCAAGUGUUUCCUUCAGAAAAUCCUUUGGUGGAGAGUUUAAUACAGUAGGAAGGAAGUUUUUA